rnacentral:rRNA from 1 species
AUUGAACGCUGGCGGCAGGCCUAACACAUGCAAGUCGAGCGGAUGAAGGGAGCUUGCUCCUGGAUUCAGCGGCGGACGGGUGAGUAAUGCCUAGGAAUCUGCCUGGUAGUGGGGGAUAACGUCCGGAAACGGGCGCUAAUACCGCAUACGUCCUGAGGGAGAAAGUGGGGGAUCUUCGGACCUCACGCUAUCAGAUGAGCCUAGGUCGGAUUAGCUAGUUGGUGGGGUAAAGGCCUACCAAGGCGACGAUCCGUAACUGGUCUGAGUGGAUGAUCAGUUACACUGGAACUGAGACACGGUCCAGACUCCUACGGGAGGCAGCGGUGGGGAAUGUUGGACAAUGGGCGAAAGCCUGAUCCAGCCAUGCCGCGUGUGUGAAGAAGGGCUUCGGAUGGUAAAGCACUUUAAGUUGGGAGGAAGGGCAGUAAGUUAAGACCUUGCUGUUUUGACGUUACCAACAGAAUAAGCACCGGCUAACUUCGU